rnacentral:rRNA from 1 species
AGAGUUUGAUCAUGGCUCAGAAUGAACGCUGGCGGCAGGCCUAACACAUGCAAGUCGAACGGGUCCUUCGGGACUAGUGGCGGACGGGUGAGUAACGCGUGGGAACAUACCCAAAGGUACGGAAUAGCCUCGGGAAACUGAGAGUAAUACCGUAUGUGCCCUUCGGGGGAAAGAUUUAUCGCCUUUGGAUUGGCCCGCGUUGGAUUAGGUAGUUGGUGGGGUAAUGGCCUACCAAGCCGACGAUCCAUAGCUGGUUUGAGAGGAUGAUCAGCCACACUGGGACUGAGACACGGCCCAGACUCCUACGGGAGGCAGCAGUGGGGAAUCUUAGACAAUGGGGGAAACCCUGAUCUAGCCAUGCCGCGUGAUCGAUGAAGGCCUUAGGGUUGUAAAGAUCUUUC